GAUGAACGCUAGCGGCAGGCUUAAUACAUGCAAGUCGAGGGGCAGCAGUUUUGUAGCAAUACAGAAGCUGGCGACCGGCAAACGGGUGCGGAACACGUACGCAACCUUCCUUUAACUGGAAGAUAGCCCACCGAAAGGUGGAUUAAUACUCCAUAACAUAUUGAAGAGGCAUCUCUUUGAUAUUAAAGCUCCGGCGGUUAAAGAUGGGCGUGCGUCUGAUUAGGUAGUUGGCGGGGUAUCGGCCCACCAAGCCUUCGAUCAGUAGCUGAUGUGAAGGCAUGAUAAGCCACACGGGAACGGCGACACGGGCCCGACUCCUACGGGAGGCAGCAGUAAGGAAUAUUGGUCAAUGUGCGCACGUCUGAACCAGCCAUGCCGCGUGGAGGAUGAAGGCCCUCUGGGUUGUAAACUUCUUUUCUUUGGGACGAAACCCCUGUUUCUACGGGGACUGACGGUACCAGAGGAAUAAGCACCGGCUAACUCCGUGCCAGCCGCCGCAGUAACAC
rnacentral:rRNA from 1 species